AGGGUUGUGGCUCAGUAGUAGAGCACUUGCCUUGUAAGUAUGAGGCACUGGGUUCAAUUCCCAGCACCUCAU
rnacentral:tRNA from 1 species